rnacentral:rRNA from 1 species
GACGUAGGGUGCGAGCGUUGUCCGGAUUUAUUGGGCGUAAAGAGCUCGUAGGCGGUUUGUCGCGUCUGCCGUGAAAGUCCGGGGCUCAACUCCGGAUCUGCGGUGGGUACGGGCAGACUAGAGUGAUGUAGGGGAGACUGGAAUUCCUGGUGUAGCGGUGAAAUGCGCAGAUAUCAGGAGGAACACCGAUGGCGAAGGCGGGUCUCUGGGCCGUAACUGACGCUGAGGAGCGAAAGCAUGGGGAGCGAACAGG